ensembl:lncRNA
UUUUUUUUUUUUUUUUUAAAUGUUCCCGGAAACGCGGCACCUCCCAAAGGUGGGGACAUCUCACUGGCCUAGGGGCUUACUUUUCAGAGUGACUCAGCGCGGGUAGAAGUUACCAGGGGCUUGCAGGGCCAGAGCCUGUUGUUUUUCAAAGACAAUCUGCAACUCUGAAGAGUGGUGAAAAGAUUUCUACACAGUGUACAUUCUACAGAAUUCUAGCUUCUCCGCGGGUGCAGACUUUUCCGCCCUCUAGUCUAGCGUGAAAACAGUUCGACCACUGGAUGUGGGCGGCGAAGCCCGCACCCUAGAGCGCGGUGUCUACCUGCAGGAGGGAGCUGCAGCCCACGCCGCCGCGGCCACUUCUGGCCUCCUCGGGAACCGAACCGAGAAUACCUCAGUGCUCGCCUAGAAGCGGCUCCUUUUCCCCUUCUUACUCGCGAAUGGCGAAACGAAUAGGUGCGCGGGAUUUUACCCGUUUGUGUAGUGGACUCUGAGGGGGCACCAGGUACCGAGACAGAAAUCUUUGCGGUAAGAAUAAAGUCAGGUAAAAUGCCUGGUACAGACGCCCUGCAGAUGUCCCAAGAGUAGGUCCACCGUACACUCUUCCCAUUAAGUUCUUAGGGGUAGGACAGGGAUGGCCCUUUGGUCAGGCUGGAUUGAUCAGGGAGGUAUGUGCAUAUGUUUGCCCUCUGGACAUUUGGGGAGGAGUUAUGAGGGAGUUGAAGGCAAGAGGCAAAAUCAGGUAGAACAACCAACCACAGCCCAGAGCGGCACUCUCGGGGAAUGGGCGCAGGGAACUCCGCGCAAAGAUCCGGCUUCCCAAACCUACGGUCCUGCCCUUUCUCCCUCUGUAAAUAACAUGUGAAUUACAGACGUACUGCCACCCAGACACUACUUCUCCCUAAAUCUGGUCCUUAGUUCUCACUGGGAUCAACGUUUCCCUCCGCUCUCCAGCUCCUCUCCAUCAGGCCAUGUCACGCAGCAGCCAGGCGGGGCCAAAAAGUUUUAGCGCGAGACCUCCUGGCUAAAACCUGCCCAGCCACCUCGACAACACAUCCUAGGGCCAGGUGAAGGGGGUUUAAGCCCUUGCAUCCAGGUAGCUUCCGGAUCUGCAGUGUGCUUGGUGCGGAUUUGGGAAGUCUCCCUUCCUUCUCUCCUAGCCACACCCAGCCCACAGAAGGGCAGAGAAAACCUGGUGGAAAAUAAUGACUCGGGCGACACUACCCCUCUUCCUUCAAUUCCAUCCCUAGAAUGGCCUGCAAAACUAUUCAUGUUCGGGGGUCCAAAUAUUAAGUGGGGGUGGGUACACGUGGCUAAAAGAACACAGAUUAGGGAUUCAGGCUGUGCCAAGCCAGGCCGGGGGCCUUUUUGCGUGUCCCGGCAUGGCAGUAUGGUUGCGGCGUGCACUCCGCAUAGCCCGUGUUGUGCGUGGCGGGCUGUCGCUGCAAUGUGCAGCCCAUUGACACUGAUGGAUGCGCCAAAGGUUGGACGGACAGAUGUUAGGGCGGAUCGCACAGCGCUCGGCGCCUGAGCAGGGGAGGGCCAGGCAGCGACCAAGCGGCGGCAGCCGGCUACGCGGAGACCCGAGUUCAGGCCGCGGCCCGCAGGGGGAGGGGGCC